rnacentral:rRNA from 1 species
UACGUAGGUGGCAAGCGUUGUCCGGAAUUAUUGGGCGUAAAGCGCGCGCAGGCGGUUUUGUAAGUCUGUCUUAAAAGUGCGGGGCUCAACCCCGUGAUGGGAUGGAAACUAUAGAACUAGAGUAUCGGAGAGGAAAGCGGAAUUCCUAGUGUAGCGGUGAAAUGCGUAGAUAUUAGGAAGAACACCAGUGGCGAAGGCGGCUUUCUGGACGACAACUGACGCUGAGGCGCGAAAGCCAGGGGAGCGAACGGGAUUAGAUACCCGGGUAGUCC